GGGUGCACAGUGGUGGUUAGCACGUUCGCCUCACACUUCCAGGGUCGGGGGUUCGAUUCCCACCGUGGCCA